GAAGAUCUCAAUCCCAUGAACCUUGUAGUAAUCAAUCUUAUUUUUAAUCGCUUUCAGCAAGUAAUGAUCCCCCACCGAAUUCUCGCACGGCUUCAGUGAUGAGCUCAUCACUAGCAGAACCCUAGACUUAUUCUCAGCGAUGAAAUUGAGGCCGAGCGAGUAAGGCUGAGAUGGAUCGCACUGGAAUUCGGGGACACCGUCGUCCUCAGUCCUUUAGGGUCUUUUUUGUAUCGAACAUGGCGUAGUUGUUGCUCCCGCUCUCCACAUUUCUGCUCGAUUUCAGCUCGGCAGCGGUCUCCACGAGGACACGGCGCAGCUUGGCACGCUUGCGGAUGUGGAAAAGGUCUCGCGGAUCUCAUCGAGAUCCUUCUUCGGCGUGCCGAACUUCCCGGCGCCGAUGUUGGCGCGCAGGACGAUCAGCAUGAGGAAGAGGCAAAGCACCAUCAACUUUCCUUGCGAAAGACGCGGUGAAGCAGUCGCGCAUUGAGCGGGUCGAGAACCCGAUCUAGAAUCGCGAUUCAGGCUCGUCGAUGAGCUGGAAGCGUAGAUUCAGACAGUAGUAAGCAAAAUUCACAAAACUCAUAAUCUUGAAAAUAAGGUUUUUUUGUCUAUUUGUGCUCUCAAAUUUAUCAAUGAAAAGUGGAGAUCGAAAUCUGG